GGUCCUGUGGUGUAACGAUUAGCGCUCUGGACUUUGAAUCCAGUGAUCCGAGUUCAAAUCUCGGCAGGACCU